rnacentral:ncRNA from 1 species
GGAAAAGUAAUGAUGAAGACCAACAUAAAUUUGUGACCCUCAGAGAGUCGAUGGUAGGUGAGAAUCGACGGCACAGUUUAUGGGUAGCCCUUCUAAACUAGUGUCCGAAACCUAGAGUAGGCACACUCGGCGUCAACCGUUAUCAGACUGGUAAUUAUACCAAAUGAGAGAACGACGCUUGUCGUUUAUUAAAGGGUGGUACCGCGUUAAUGACAACGCCCCUUGC